rnacentral:rRNA from 1 species
UGCAAGUCGAACGAAGUAGCAAUACUUAGUGGCAGACGGGUGAGUAACAUGUAGGUAUCUGCCCUUUGGCCUGGAAUAACACGAGGAAACUUGUGCUAAUACCGGAUAAGUCUUUACGGAGAAAGCUUUAUGCACCAUUGGAUGAGCCUGCACUUGAUUAGUUUGUUGGUGGGGUAAUGGCCUACCAAGACUGUGAUCAAUAGCUGAUUUGAGAGGAUGAUCAGCCACAUUGGGACUGAGACACGGCCCAAACUCCUACGGGAGGCAGCAGUGGGGAAUCUUGCACAAUGGAGGAAACUCUGAUGCAGCGAUGCCGCGUGAGUGAAGAAGGCCCUUGGGUUGUAAAGCUCUUUCGUCGGGGAAGAAAAUGACUGUACCCGAAUAAGAAGGUCCGGCUAACUUCGUGCCAGCAGCCGCGGUAAUACGAAGGGACCUAGCGUAGUUCGGAAUUACUGGGCUUAAAGAGUUCGUAGGUGGUUGAAAAAGUUAGUGGUGAAAUCCCAGAGCUUAACUCUGGAACUGCCAUUAAAACUUUUCAGCUAGAGUAUGAUAGAGGAAAGCAGAAUUUCUAGUGUAGAGGUGAAAUUCGUAGAUAUUAGAAAGAAUACCAAUUGCGAAGGUAGCUUUCUGGAUCAUUACUGACACUGAGGACCGAAAGCAUGGGUAGCGAAGAGGAUUAGAUACCCUCGUAGUCCAUGCCGUAAACGAUGUGUGUUAGACGUUGGAAAUUUAUUUUCAGUGUCGC